GGGCUAGUAGCUUAGAGGUCUAAAGCACUGUCCUUAUAAGACAGGGAUCGAUGGUCCGAAUCCAUCCUAGCCCACCA
rnacentral:tRNA from 1 species